AUGGACGCAAGUCUGAUUGGAGCAACGCCGCGUGAGUGAAGAAGGCUUUCGGGUCGUAAAACUCUGUUGUUGGAGAAGAAUGGUCGGCAGAGUAACUGUUGUCGGCGUGACGGUAUGCCAACCAGAAAGCCAGGGCUAACUACGUGCCAGCAGCCGCGGUAAUACGUAGGUGGCAAGCGUUAUCCGGAUUUAUUGGGCGUAAAGCGAGCGCAGGCGGUUUUUUAAGUCUGAUGUGAAAGCCCUCGGCUUAACCGAGGAAGUGCAUCGGAAACUGGGAAACUUGAGUGCAGAAGAGGACAGUGGAACUCCAUGUGUAGCGGUGAAAUGCGUAGAUAUAUGGAAGAACACCAGUGGCGAAGGCGGCUGUCUGGUCUGUAACUGACGCUGAGGCUCGAAAGCAUGGGUAGCGAACAGGAUUAGAUACCCUGGUAGUCCAUGCCGUAAACGAUGAAUGCUAGGUGUUGGAGGGUUUCCGCCCUUCAGUGCCGCAGCUAACGCAUUAAGCAUUCCGCCUGGGGAGUACGACCGCAAGGUUGAAACUCAAAGGAAUUGACGGGGGCCCGCACAAGCGGUGGAGCAUGUGGUUUAAUUCGAAGCCACGCGAAGAACCUUACCAGGUCUUGACAUCUUUUGAUCACCUGAGAGAUCAGGUUUCCCC
rnacentral:rRNA from 2 species